rnacentral:lncRNA from 1 species
AUCAUUAAACAAGUCAAGUACAUUAAUAUUUUUAUUACAUUUCAAAAAUUGGUAGAUGUCUUGAAAUGAAUAAAACGAUAGCAUCAAAUUACUCCAAUGUGUUUUAGUUCUAGCAUGGUAUUAUCAAUAUGUUUUGUUAAAGGUAUGGGAAAUUGAAAUAAUUUAGCGGACGUGAGAAAUUUUGUUAAGUGUUAUCUAGAUGUGUUAUACUUACCUAUUGUUAUUAUACACUCGGAAGACAUUUAACAUGAAGUAUGGUAACCUACCAAGUUUGUUCAAAGUCUACCCAUUUGGGUCAGCUUUUUUACAAUGGUCACAUCGGGAUAGCUAUGUUUAGAAUAGAAUGUAUUUAUCGCCCCUGUGUGUACAUGAAAUUAAAAAGAAUUAUUUGCUACAGGUUAGGUUUGUUCAAGUACAAUCCCGUGGUCAAAUAUUGACACACCGAAGUCUAUUCAUCUUCUCUAUAAGUACAUGUACAUGAAAUGGAUAAGAAUUAUUUGCUACAGGUUAGGUUUGUUCAAGUACAAUCCCGCGGUCAAAUAUUGACACACCGAAGUCUAUUCAUCUUCUCUAUAAGUACAUGAAAUGGAUAAGAAUUAUUUGCAAGUGGUCAGCUGUCAUUUUAUUUUCAAAUUUUGUAGACUAUGAUAUCAUUUAAUAUAAGAUACGGUCAGUCUUGGACAAAUUGUGUUUAGCAUGAAGACUCGCCACAGAAUAACUAACUGGAUUAUUUUGUAUUUCAAUGAUGGUAAUGUGACUUUGUACAUCUUUGCAUGAAAGCAUUGAGAAAAACAAGUAACUACUUACAAAUUGAAAGUGCUAUAUAUAAGGUCAAGAAUAUGUCUUUAAUUUCUGAACAUUUUAUUCAUUUAAUGUACUAGUAUCCACAGUAAAUGAUGUAUCAAAUUGAGUUUAACUGCAGUGUUAGAAGAUUUUACUGCCGCUAAAAUGCAAGCAGACAGAAAAAUCAGGAAACUGGAUCACAGAAGAUGAAAUGACAACACAAGGAAAAAAAUGUCCUCCUGAGUUUUUUCCAUACGUUUCAAGUACACGGUCACAAUGACGAAAUAUCAGCAACAACAGUCAACUGCUGUAUGAUUCUAUGUCGGCCUGUUCUUUCAACAGCAUGCAUGUUCCUGGUACAUGUGUUAGCUAAAAGUUAUUGAAGAAACAAAACUACGAACAGGACAAAACGUAGAAUGAAGAAAACAGAAAAAAAUGGAACAAAAACGGACAGACUGGGAUACGAUUGAAAAGCUGAUUUUGUUAGUAUUUAUGGUCUCCGUGUUGCUCAUCAUCAUUAUCAUUACAACUGAAAUAUCCUCGCCGGCUCAACAUCAGAACGACAUGCUAGAGGGAGAACACAAGUUGGGUGCAUCACAUGAUCAGAAUGAAGUAAACACUAAUUACAGUCAUAUCCUUUCGGUACAGACGAAUGAAAUUCCAAGUAUAAAGGUAUCACAGGGAACAUCUCUUCAUCGCCGAAAUAGAACAGUUGAUAUUUAGAAGGUGGAAGCUUUGCUUAUUCUCAGGUCAUACUUGGCACAUGCUACAAAAUGGAAAGAUGUAUUGGAAGAUGUUUUGGAAGAUGUUAAACAAAAUAUCGACCAGCUUCCUCCUGCUGCAAAGAAACUAUACCGGACUGCCAAUAAAAAGCAGCUGCGAGACAGACUGUCGACAAAACUUGAAAAACUGAUAAAUCAGCAAGCUGAAAACAUUGACGACUUAGAUGUACGUUCAGCAGUUCAAGAUAUUAAAAUAAUGGAGAGGAUCCUGGUUAAGAGAAAACCAAAGGAGCAAGACGAAGACCUGAGUGGUGCAGUUGCAACUGGUACGCAAAGCAAAAUAGAGGACAAAACUCCUAAACAGAACGAUUAUCAACACCAAAAGAAGAAAACAUCGAUCAUUGAUUUAAUCCGCCAGAAUCUACUUGGACCAAACUAAAACAGUUUGUCGUCAGCAGGGUUGAAUCUUCAGUUUUUGUAUUGCAUUGCUAUUUAGAAAUAAACAUGAAGCUUGUUAUGAA